UACAGAGGUGGCAAGCGUUGUUCGGAAUUACUGGGCGUAAAGGGCGCGUAGGCGGCCUUCUAAGUCAGACGUGAAAUCCCCCGGCUUAACCUGGGAACUGCGUCUGAUACUGGGAGGCUUGAGUAUGGGAGAGGGAUGUAGAAUUCCAGGUGUAGCGGUGAAAUGCGUAGAUAUCAGGAGGAACACCGGUGGCGAAGGCGGGUCUCUGGGCAGUAACUGACGCUGAGGAGCGAAAGCGUGGGGAGCGAACAGG
rnacentral:rRNA from 1 species